AAAGGGAGCAUGGGACCUGGCUAAAAGAAUUAGCGUUAUCAUUAGUAAGCUCAUGACCUUCGUCCGGAGCCAGCAGUGGUUUUAGUGCUGUACAAAGCACAGCAGAGGCAGAGCUUCCAGGGAUGAUUGGCAGGUAGGGUGAGCAGCACGGGCGAUUCUGUGAGGACAUCAUUAGCCAAGAGUUACCACAUUAGUAGGAUGAGCUAAUGGUUUGCGUGAGCAAAACAAGGACUUUGUUGCAAGCAAGUUUGUGUCAGUGGGGAUAUGAAUAAAAAGCUGCUAACUUAGAAACUAAAGAGGUGGUAAUUUAUGGGCAGAUCUGUUGGUUUUGCUGUUGGUAGGAAGCACAGUAUUGUAUGUGAUCCUUCCUAACUGACCAGGCUUAAGAAAGCAAAUCUGUAUUCCAGCUGUCUAGAAACGUGAACCCCAAUUCUGACCUCUUUGGCUUCAAAUCAUCUUCUUCCCUGUACCAUUGCAGAGACAGCCCUGAAAAGCAGCAUGACCAGGAGGACCCAGAGUGAAACCUCCCUCUUAGCCCCACCAAGCUGUGGCAGCCCACCACAAUACAGGGAGUAAACUCUGGAAUUCCCUUCCCAUGUGGAUCCAGUAGAAAAUAAUAGUGGUGAAUUUGCAGUGCACAUGUUUCUCAUUUCCCCCAGCUGGGUUGCACCCUGCCCUCUUUGCUUCUGAAGCACUGAUGGUGAAUGCGUGUUUUUUAAUGACACAUGUUUUUAAGGUACCAUAUUGAGAUGUCAAACCAAAACUCACUCUUUUACUGGGGCUUCCCUCAGCGAGCUGCUCAGAUAACCACUGAAACACUGGUAUUACACUUCGUUGUGGACCGUGCCCCUUUGGGCAGAAUCUGUUGUGUCUUUUCAGAACUGUUUUGACCCUUCUUCACCUCUGUUUGUCCUCCCUUUGGGAUUCGGAAGUUCAGCCUUGCUGGGUUACUGCAGAGAGUAUGUGCAAGAGUCAGGAACCUGGAGAAAGAGGAGGAUGCUCUGUCGUGCAGCUAAUUCAUUUGGCACUUAGGCUUGCCUGGCCAACAAACUACCUCAGCAAAGGCCAUUCCCGAGCGCUCUGUGGAUCCUGUAGUUUAUGGCAUUCAGAAGGCAAAAGGUCUCCAGAGAACCCUGCCAACAGGGUUCUGGGCUCUGAGGGCCUCACAGUGACACACUGUUGGAUCCUUGUUGUCAAUGGUCAGACCUGGGCCAGGGAAUGCCCUAAGACCCAGGUGGGAUCAGGAGAACACCAGAGCUGCAGACAUCUUGUCUCCAGGUUAUUGCCGUCUUACUCAGAUCCUCCUUUAAGCCUCCGUCCUGUUUGUAACACCUACAGAAUGGAAUGUAAUACUUGAAAAAUAUGACUCUCUCUAUCCUUUACCUUUAGCUCCCAUUUCCCUCCAUGUUUCUCUUUUAUCUGGGACAAGAACUUUCUGCAUCAUUGUGUCUUGUAUAGGCUGAGCACAUAGUUGAAACUUGCCAAUAAA
rnacentral:lncRNA from 1 species